ACAGGUGCAUUCUGGAUCUUUCUCCUAAAUUGUACCUACAGAGGCUCAAGUCAUUAUACAGCUCAAAUUGUUAAAACGGGUUACUUUGAGGAGUGCGUGGACUGGUUACAUCGUGCUUUGAGAAUAAACGAACAAAGAAGUUAAACCUGGAGCAGAUUGAGGAGGACUUUACGGUGCAUAAAGCUCACAAAAAGCGCAUUUACUAUCUAACUGGGACGUUUUCAGACCGAUUGGUUGGGAUUUGAUAUGGACAAAAUACACAAGGUGAUACACUGGAGUGUAUGUGUAGAGGGGCCAGACCUUACUCUGCAGCGCUGUGGAGAUAUGUCUGAUGGGGCCGUACCAGGCAAAGCAGACUUCAUGGCUGUCGACUUCACUUGCAUGUGAUUGGCAAGUCAGACAUUUCAGAAUGAUGGAUGUGUUUUCCCUGCUGACGCUUUAUUUGACACAACUGUUUAAAAAGACUGAAUACAGCCCUACAUUGUCAGGCAGAAUCUCUCUGGUGUAUAUGGUACUUCACUACACUUCACUUUUGGGAGAUAGUAGAUUAAAAAAAGUGGUCAAAGAGAGCAGCAAUGGACAUAUGGAGCAUCUAUAACGAGUCCAAAUUUUGCUGUAUAAUUAAUUGUCUCAGAAAUAAUUGCGAUUAACAA